AGCAGCCGCGGUAAUUCCAGCUCCAAUAGCGUAUAUUAAAGUUGUUGCAGUUAAAAAGCUCGUAGUUGAAUUUUGGGUCUGGCCGGGCGGUCCGCCCUCCGGGUGAGCACUGUUCCGACGCCGGGCCUAUCCUUCUGGUGAGUCGGCAUGUCCUUUGUUGGGUGUGUCGGGGAACCAGGACCAUUACCUUGAAAAAAUUAGAGUGUUCAAAGCAGGCGUAUGCUCGGAUACAUUAGCAUGGAAUAAUGAAAUAGGACGCGUGGUGCUAUUUUGUUGGUUUCUAGAACCGCCGUAAUGAUUAAUAGGGAUAGUUGGGGGCAUUAGUAUUCAAUUGUCAGAGGUGAAAUUCUUGGAUUUAUUGAAGACUAACUUCUGCGAAAGCAUUUGCCAAGGAUGUUUUCAUUAAUCAAGAACGAAAGUUAGGGGAUCGAAGACGAUCAGAUACCGUCGUAGUCUUAACCAUAAACUAUGCCGACUAGGAAUCGGGCGAUGUUAUUCUCACGACUCGCCCGGCGCCUU
rnacentral:rRNA from 1 species